AAAACUGCCUCUGUCCCAGAACUAAAAACAUUUGACUUGAGAAGUGUCAUGGCUCCAUCCACUUCAAACAUGUAUACAUGCGUGCAUCAAAAGGCAAUGAGAGGAGAAGGAAACAUCAGAUCUACAUUUUUAAAUAUUAUAAAACUGUUUCUAUAUGCAUUUUUAAGUCAAGAAAAUUUUAAAUGCAAGAUUUGGGGAUUUUUCUGGAUUGUGAAAAAAAUCAAAAUAUGCAACAGAUUACAUGACAACAAUGUCUUUACUUUUACUUAUUAUACUUUUGCUUUAUAUGAUUGAAUAUUUUUAAUAAAUUUGAUUCUUUUAAUAGAAAAUCAUCACCCAGAAUUCACUGAAAUUCACGAGUGGAUGACACUCCCGAGGCACCGUCCCCUCGCCAAACACUCACUGAGCACAGCUAUUACAGAGUGGCUUCAAUGGACUUUGGUCCAGAACCCGACUUCUCCCUAAUGUGUUUGUUUUUUUUUGCUAAUUUUUCAUUGUGUCUUUUAGGACUCCCUAGUCAAUAACACAAAUGUAGAGCUGCUCUUCACAGAGGCUGUGUGCUGACCUCCUCUCCCCUGCACACAAGGAAAGGCUUGAACUGAUCAGGCCUGCCCCCACACUGAUCAUUUUCACUGUGUUGGUCCAUUGCCUAGGUAAGCACACAGCAUGAUUCAUCAGCUAGACACUCUAUAAACUGUGCUGAAAUUCAUGUCUACUUCUUACAAGUGUGUCGUCAGUAAAACAUCCCUUAACCCCUUAACUGCAGAUUUCCUACAGUCAGACCUCACCAAGCUACAGGAAUGGACCAAAAAGUGGCUGCUACAAUUCAAUGAAGAAAAAUGUAGUCUUGCACCUUGGGAGGGGAUAUCCAGCGUACCAGUACCACAUGGGAAACACUCCACUAUCCACCACAGAGGCAGAGAAAAACCCAGGAGUAUAUGUUAUCAGGCUACCAGUAAAAGCCAAAUUCGUUCCAAUUGCAGUGGACGGGUUAACCAUUGAGUAAUCACCACAGUGUCUCUGGCAUUUUUUUUCAACUCCAGGUGCUUAUAUUAUGAAUGCUUCUUUCUAUGAAAAGUCAGGUAAUAAAAGUACAGAAUGAAUAAUAAAAACUUGAUCAUAAUAUCAUUACAGACAGCUGCUGCUCAGCUGAUACAGUCAUUUUGGAGGCGGGCCUGAACAGGUGCCGCAGCCAGUCCUGGUGCCAGCAGUAGCAGCUACACGCCGCGGUAAUGUGGUUAUCAAAUAUGCAUACAUAAUUAUUAUGUAUGCGUAUUUGAUGAACUGUCACUAUCCAGAAUACUGAAUAACUGCACUGGUGGUAACCACUGGUACCGGUACUGAGCAGUCUGGUACCAUUACCAUGUGGUUAGCCAGUACUGGUAGCAGCACCUGCCCAGUACUACAGCCAACAUGCCUGUUUGCUGAGGUGUAUCAGAUGCUUGCACUCAUGAUCCAGUUUUUAUCACCUGUUUCAUAAUCAUAUUACCUUUUUUUUUUUUUUAAAGCAGCAUUCAGUACAGGCAGUCCUUGAGUUCGUUGGGGUACAGUUGUGACAGGCAGGUCAUGAGUCAAAUUGAUCGUGUCUAAGUUUACAUUAAAAAAUUAAAUGUACAGCGUGUUUUAUUACGCAUGUAUCAGAUACGACCAACAGCCAGUGGGUGACUCUAUUCCUCACUUGCCGGGCAACUGGACAGUGUAGGAGUUGUUUCUUAUUUAUGUAUUAGUGUGUGAUUUCUUCAGCCAUGCCCUGGUAGGCAGUGGAGGUUUGUUUACUGCUGUGUCUUGCCUUGUGGCACACAGACAAUGAACAAAAUCAAAAUGAAAACAAUAGCAAUGGAAGUCAACAAAUAGGACACCGUGCGCUAUUACCAGGCAACUGAAUUUUUCCAGUAGUGACCACUUCUUCUUGGCCAACUUCAUGCUCUAAAGUUCUGACUACUUUAGAAAUGCCAUCACUGACUUUUCUUAUUGCCACAUGAAGUUUCAAACAAGGCCAACCAUGACCCAAGACCAACGCCAAAACAGUAACAGUCGACGCCGACAAGUAUGGUGCCGUACACUGUCACCAAGCAACUGACUUUUCCCGUAACUUCAAGCUCUAUUCAAUCAGUCAUUCAGUGGAGGCAAAUGUUGGGGGGGGCGUUGCCUCGUGCACCCUAUGACACCAAGUGCAGGGGUCUCUCUGGGCAAUUCUCCAUGCAGGCCCCCUUCCCAUUCUGAGUACCUACUUCAAGGAUCUAUCAACUUGCUAAAGCCACGAACUCUGUGGGUGUCCCCUUGGCCUCCUCCAUUCAGCAUUGUCUCUUACAGAGAUGACCUGAUGAGCAGGAUCAGCUUCAGAGUAGCGUGCAAGGUGCCAAAUAGCCAAAGUUGGUGUUGACACACUGAGCAGAUAAUAGGCCUCGAAUCAGUCUCACGGAGUAGUCACUGGUUUGACACAAAGUCAUUCCAGCAAUGUCCCAUGAUUCUGCAUGGAGAUUUAUUACCAAAGGCAUCAAUCCGCCUCUCCAAGUCUCCAUUUAGUGUCCAUGUCUCACAGCCAAAGCGUAAGACAGGGAGCACAAGGGACUUGAAGAUCCGGAUCUUUGUCCUUCUUCACAGGUAUCGACAACGCCAUAUACUCGUGCUGAGUGAGUCCAUAACACCGUGGGCCAAGUUAAUCUGCUGUAGGACUUCCUGGCGAGACUCACCGUUAUUAUGAACCACACUAAAUUUUCUGAAAUUUCAACGUCCUCGCCACACGAAUGAACAUACUGUGCUGUUUCAUCUUGCAAGCCUCCAAACACCUGUACCUUGGCCUUGGCCCAGGAGACCCCAAGUCCCAAGGGCUUUGCCUCCUCAUGCAGGGAAUUGAGAGCCAUCACCAAAACUUCCAGCGACUCUGCAAGGAUUACUGCAUCAUCAGCAAAAACAAGGUCAGUGACCCAGGCAUUGCCAAUGGAUGCUCCACAAUGACUGGUCCACAACUCUGUCCAGUACCCAGUCCAUACAAGUGUUGAAAAGCUCCAAGGUUCUGGAUAAUCCGAAAAUGUUGUCACUGACUACAACAUGAGCUCCACAGACACCUGAGGGGAAGGCUUGGGUGGGCUGAACUGUGGUGGUGGCAGCGGAGGGGUGGGAAGGGAGGCAGGAGGUGCAGGAAUGUUGUGCAAACACAUAUCUGAGCUAUUUGUGAAGGGAUUUCUAAAAUAUCAACUCAUUACAAUGUCUAGUGUUACUAACAUUAUUGGCCUCAACACAAGUAAUGUGCAAGUAGUUGUAAGUUGCACAUGUCGUAACCUAGCGACUGUCUGUAGUAAAUAAUUAGCAUGCUACAAUAUGCUUAAGCUCCUGAAGCUGAAAAAUGGCACAGCCUUCAUGGUGGGUGCCCAAGAUUUUAAUGACUACAUAUUUGUAAGAACUUUAUGUAAAUUACACAACAGUUUUUUAUAUGUAUAGAUAAUGAAAAAUGUUAGUCAUGAUAUUUUAUGAUAGUUUACGCAUGCAUGCAUACAUUGUCCCUUCCUUGAGAACGGCCAAAUCAUCGGCGAGCAGACCGUGUGUGUUGGGAGUGAGGUAAAGUUUGGUGCAUGCACCAUGGCUGCACGGGGGUGAGGUGCUCAUCUCUGCCGCAUUGGCCCCUUGGGCCUGUGGUGGGUGAGUGGUUAGCAUGCCGGCACAGCGUCCGGGAGCUCCAGAAGGGAAGCAGGUUCGAAUCCUGGCUGCCGCACAGCUGGGAUUUUUUGAUUACCACUGCACCCAGUGGCCUAAGACUACCCACAUGCUACCUGAAGACCACCUUUCAACCCAGACUCUAGAUCACCUUUCCAAAGAGAGGCUCCGGGGGGCAGCAUGAGCCAAAACAAGAUGGCGCCACUAUAAACACUCGCCUGCGCUGGAACAGGCUGGGCAGACCAUCAGGCCCCACCAGGGGAAAGCCUAAUGGCGGUGGCCGAACUGGUAGCGUACUGGGCCCACAUUCACCGCGUGAUGGACGACGCGGGUUCGAAUCCUCACGCUACCACUCGGAUUUUUCAGUCACCGCCGAGUGGCUUAAAACUACCCACAUGCUGUCCUGAAGACCACCCAUCAACCCGGACUCUAGAGGAAGCCGUCCAAGCGAAUCAAGAACGAGUUCCGGGGAGCAGCAUGAGCCAAUGCAAGAUGGCGCCACUAUAAACACUCGCCUGCGCCAGAACGGGCUGGGCCGACCAUCAGGCCCCACCAGGAAGAUGCCUACCGGCGCAACAGGCAGCGACGUAAAAAAAAAAAAAAAACA